UUGGGCAUUAUUCAGCCUUAGCGAAUCCACAUGCUGCUGAGAGGACUUCCAGUGUAAGUAAAAAGGCAGAAACUUUGGCAUCACUACAGCCUGACCCCAGGGUCAGUAUCAGUAGCAAUGGCGGAGUUAGAAUCGCUCUUCGGUAGUUUGGGCUGGGGCCUUGACGCAGGCGGAUCAGCCUGGCCAUCUUGGGGGGCGUCUGUGGAGCAGAGCUCCUGAGGCCUAAUGCGUCCUUUAGAAACGAAAUAGUAUCUGAGCAAGUUGCUGGUGGUGGAGUCACUUAAUUUGUUUGUCGGGUGAGUAGCUGUAGGUUUGAGAGGGGCUCCUCCCGGUUCCUCCGCCUCUUCUGUCUCCUGUGAUCUUCUUCCCCUGGUGGUCUCCCUGCGGGCGCACCUGUCAUCCUGAUCCGACCUGAGGAGCAGACUCCCUGUGAGACUUCUAUUUGUAUUUAGCUUUCUGAGAACCUAGUUUUAGGGAAAUUUUUACAGACACAAUGUAUUUAUGCUUCAGUGUGCGUGUUAUUUUAUUCCAACGUUCCUGAUAGUGGAAAACCGUAUUCCCACGCAAACUCAGAAUGCUAUAUUUUUAACAGCACUCCAGCAUUUUUCUUCAUAUAUCACCUUCACUGACUCCCCUGAGUCAUUGAGCGUCCAUACGUGUCCUUCACCACCCCCACCCCCAGCACCUGUGUCGGCAAAAGAAGUGAUGUGUGUGGGCGUGAAGCAGAGAAGCCAAACAGUGUGCCGUUUCUGUGAGCGGUGAAGACACAGCUGUCUGCUGCUGCCCCUUGUCGCCUUCUGUGUAUAGUCCGUCAUCUGCUCUGCCAACGACAAAUCCCUUUUCAAGUCCUGUCUUGUUUCCCAACUUAAUUAAAUAGGUAAAAAGUCUUUUUAAGUAGGGGCUAUUAUUUUUAUAUUCACUUAUGUCCCAGAUUCU
rnacentral:lncRNA from 1 species